UACGUAGGCAGCAAGCGUUGUUCGGAUUUACUGGGCGUAAAGAGUGUGUAGGCUGUUCUCUAAGUUUGGUGUGAAAUCUCCCGGCUCAACUGGGAGGGUGCGCCGAAAACUGGAGGGCUCGAGUAUGGGAGAGGAAAGCGGAAUUCCUGGUGUAGCGGUGAAAUGCGUAGAUAUCAGGAGGAACACCUGCGGUGUAGACAGCUUUCUGGACCAUCACUGACGCUGAGACACGAAAGCGUGGGUAGCAAACAGG
rnacentral:rRNA from 1 species